UACAGAGGUCUCAAGCGUUGUUCGGAUUCAUUGGGCGUAAAGGGUGCGUAGGCGGCGCGGUAAGUCGGGUGUGAAAUCUCGGAGCUUAACUCCGAAACUGCAUUCGAUACUGCCGUGCUUGAGGACUGGAGAGGAGACUGGAAUUUACGGUGUAGCGGUGAAAUGCGUAGAUAUCGUAAGGAAGACCAGUGGCGAAGGCGGGUCUCUGGGCCGAUACUGACGCUGAGGUGCGAAAGCGUGGGGAGCAAACAGG
rnacentral:rRNA from 1 species